rnacentral:rRNA from 1 species
GCUUGUCUCAAAGAUUAAGCCAUGCAUGUCUAAGUAUAAGCAACCUUAUACAGCGAAACUGCGUACAGCUCAUUAUAUCAGCAAUUAUUUAUUUGAAGAUCACCUAUUACAUGGAUAACCGUGGUAAUUCUAGAGCUAAUACAUGCAGGAAGACCCGACUCACGAAGGGUUGUAUUUAUUAGAUAAGAAACCUUCCCCUUUGGGUUGCGUGCCGAGUCACAAUAACUGCUCGAAUCGCAUGGCUUCACGCCGGCGAUGGUUCAUUCAAAUUUCUGCCCUAUCAGCUUUCGAUGGUAGGAUCGAGGCCUACCAUGGCGUUUACGGGUAACGGAGAAUUAGGGUUCGAUUCCGGAGAGGGAGCCUGAGAGAUGGCUACCACAUCCAAGGAAGGCAGCAGG